AUUGAACGCUGGCGGCAUGCUUUACAUAUGCAAGUCGAACGGUAACAGGCCUUCGGGUGCUGACGAGUGGCGAACGGGUGAGUAAUGCAUCGGAACGUGCCCAGAGGUGGGGGAUAACGCAGCGAAAGCUGUGCUAAUACCGCAUGUGAUCUGAGGAUGAAAGCGGGGGACCAAGCAGCAAUGUUUGGCCUCGCGCCUCUGGAGCGGCCGAUGUCAGAUUAGGUAGUUGGUGGGGUAAAGGCCUACCAAGCCGACGAUCUGUAGCUGGUCUGAGAGGACGACCAGCCACACUGGGACUGAGACACGGCCCAGACUCCUACGGGAGGCAGCAGUGGGGAAUUUUGGACAAAGGGCGCAAGCCUGAUCCAGCAAUGCCGCGUGCGGGAAGAAGGCCUUCGGGUUGUAAACCGCUUUUGUACGGAACGAAAAGGCUCUGGCUAAUACCUGGGGCUGAUGACGGUACCGUAAGAAUAAGCACCGGCUAACUACGUG
rnacentral:rRNA from 1 species